ACGGGAGGCAGCAGUGGGGAAUAUUGCACAAUGGGGGAAACCCUGAUGCAGCAACGCCGCGUGAGUGAAGAAGUAUUUCGGUAUGUAAAGCUCUAUCAGCAGGGAAGAUAAUGACGGUACCUGACUAAGAAGCCCCGGCUAACUACGUGCCAGCAGCCGCGGUAAUACGUAGGGGGCAAGCGUUAUCCGGAUUUACUGGGUGUAAAGGGAGCGCAGACGGCUUUGCAAGUCUGAUGUGAAAGGCAGGGGCUCAACUCCUGGACUGCAUUGGAAACUGUAGGGCUAGAGUGUCGGAGAGGUAAGCGGAAUUCCUAGUGUAGCGGUGAAAUGCGUAGAUAUUAGGAGGAACACCAGUGGCGAAGGCGGCUUACUGGACGAUAACUGACGUUGAGGCUCGAAAGCGUGGGGAGCGAACAGGAUUAGAUACCCUGGUA
rnacentral:rRNA from 1 species